GUGGCCUCUGCGACUAGGCCGGCUCGAGACUCCCGGGCGCCCAGGCGGUGCCGCCUGCCUCGCCGCCCCACGCCGAAGGACCACGCGCCAGCCUCCGCCAGCCUCUUAGCGCUCCCAUGAUCGCCCGGUGCCUUUUGGCUGUGCGAAGCCUCCGCAGAGUUGGUGGUUCCAGGAUUUUACUCAGAAUGACAUUAGGAAGAGAAGUGAUGUCUCCUCUUCAGUCAAUGUCUUCCUAUACUGUGACUGGCAGAAAUGUUUUAAGAUGGGAUCUUUCACCAGAGCAAAUUAAAACAAGAACUGAGGAGCUCAUUGUGCAGACCAAACAGGUGUACGAUGCUGUUGGAAUGCUCGGUAUUGAGGAAGUAACUUAUGAGAACUGUCUGCAGGCACUGGCAGAUAUAGAAGUAAAGUAUAUAGUGGAAAGGACCAUGCUAGACUUUCCCCAGCACAUAUCCUCUGACAAAGAGGUACGAGCAGCAAGUACAGAAGCAGACAAAAGACUUUCUCGUUUUGAUAUUGAGAUGAGCAUGAGAGGAGAUAUAUUUGAGAGGAUUGUUCGUUUGCAGGAAACCUGUGAUCUGGGGAAGAUAAAACCUGAGGCCAGACGAUACUUGGAAAAGUCAAUUAAAAUGGGGAAAAGAAAUGGGCUCCAUCUUCCUGAACAAGUACAGAAUGAAAUCAAAUCAAUGAAGAAAAGAAUGAGUGAGCUAUGUAUUGAUUUUAACAAAAACCUCAAUGAGGAUGAUACCUUCCUUGUAUUUUCCAAGGCUGAACUUGGUGCUCUUCCUGAUGAUUUCAUUGACAGUUUAGAAAAGAUAGAUGAUGACAAGUAUAAAAUUACCUUAAAAUAUCCACACUAUUUCCCUGUCAUGAAGAAAUGUUGUAUCCCUGAAACCAGAAGAAGGAUGGAAAUGGCUUUUAAUACAAGGUGCAAAGAGGAAAACACCAUAAUUUUGCAGCAGCUACUCCCAUUGCGGGCCAAGGUUGCCAAACUACUCGGUUAUAGCACACAUGCUGACUUUGUCCUUGAAAUGAACACUGCAAAGAGCACAAGCCGCGUAACAGCCUUUCUAGAUGAUUUAAGCCAGAAGUUAAAACCCUUGGGUGAAGCAGAACGAGAGUUUAUUUUGAAUUUGAAGAAAAAGGAAUGCGAAGACAGGGGUUUUGAAUAUGAUGGGAAAAUCAAUGCCUGGGAUCUGUAUUACUACAUGACUCAAACAGAGGAACUCAAGUAUUCCAUAGACCAAGAGUUCCUCAAGGAAUACUUCCCAAUUGAGGUGGUCACUGAAGGCUUGCUGAACACCUACCAGGAGUUGUUGGGACUUUCAUUUGAACAAGUGACAGAUGCUCAUGUUUGGAACAAGAAUGUUACACUUUAUACUGUGAAGGAUAAAGCUACAGGAGAAGUAUUGGGACAGUUCUAUUUGGACCUCUAUCCAAGGGAUGGAAAAUACAAUCAUGCGGCCUGCUUCGGUCUCCAGCCUGGCUGCCUUCUGCCUGAUGGAAGCCGGAUGAUGGCAGUGGCUGCCCUCGUGGUGAACUUCUCACAGCCAGUGGCAGGUCGUCCCUCUCUCCUGAGACACGAUGAGGUGAGGACUUACUUCCAUGAGUUUGGUCACGUGAUGCAUCAGAUUUGUGCACAGGUGAGUUUUUUUUUCCCCCAGUAAACCUGCCAAUUAGUUUUUUUAGACAACUUUUUGACUGCUGUCAGGUUUCUGCUAACAGGUUUUUUCAGAAGCUGAAUGUGUUCAAGAAUUUUAUAGGCCUUCUGCAAAACCAAAAUUUUCCUUAUCCUGUCCUCUUUCACAACAUAUUUUUACUUGGAGGUUCAUCUACCAGUGAAACAGGUUUGCUGAAUAACAGCCUAUGGAAAAAGAAUAAGACUAUCUGUAAGGAAAGGUUACAAAUACUUUGCUUUUUCCUUUUAAUCCUUUUCUAUAGGAAUUUGAUAUAAAUUUCUCAGAAAAACUGUGCUGUAAUCUGUCUCUUCUGCUUAUCAAUGCUUUGUUUACUUUAGUGGUUUUUCAACCCUCUUAGACCCUUUACUCAUUUUUAAAUAAUAAUUUUGUAACAUUUCCCUUUACUAACUUCAAAUUAAAAUCAUAGAUAGUAUAGUAUAACCAUGCAAAGAAUUUGCCAGAGUGGAGGUGUAUGUGUGCAGUAGAUUAAAACUGAUUUUUUUAUUUCUGAAAAUAAAAAGUACAUUUAUUCUCAACUUUGUAAUACAAUCCGUUUAAUUAGGCCCAGACUAUUCUAGCAUGAACCAUAUGAACUUGCUAACAUUUAACCAUUAUUAACAUAUGAAAAUGUCUAGUUUAGCAAUUCACCAUAAUAGUUGAAAUAUACUGUUAUUGGCUGAGCAUGGUGGCUCAUGCCUGUAAUCCCAGCACUUUGGGAGGCUGAGGUGGGAGGAUCACUUGAGUCCAGGAGGUUGAGGUUGUAGUGAGCCAUGAUUGUGCCACUGCACUCCAGUCUGGGUGACAGAGCAAGACCUUGACUUAAAAAAAAAAAGAAAA
rnacentral:sRNA from 1 species